rnacentral:lncRNA from 1 species
CCACGGACCUGCCAUGGACCCACGGACACGCCACCGACACGCUACUGACACGGCAACGCCUGCCCCACGGACGCAUCGAUGUCUGCCCCACGGACACGCCACCGACACGCUACCGACACGCCACCGACAUGCCACGGACCUGCCAUGGACACAGCACAGACCUGUCGUGGGCCCACGGACACGCUACCGACACGCCACGGACCUGCCAUGGACCCACGGACACAGCAACACCUGCCCCAUGGACGCGCCAAUGUCUGCCCCACGGACACGCCACCGACACGCUACUGACACGCUACCGACAUGGUGCCGACACGCCACGGACCUGCCGUGGACCCACGGACACGGUAAUCGCAGCCCCCACGGACACGCCACUGACACGCCAGGCCCUGCCCCACGGACACGCGGUUCCCAGCCCCACGGACACACCAGGAACGGCCCCACAGACAGGCAAGAUACAGCCCCACGGAGACACCACCGACGCACAGUUCCCGGCCCCACGGACACACCAGGAUCGGCCCCCACGGACACGUCAAUCCCAACCCCACAGACACCCCACGGACACACAGUUCCUGGUCCCACGGACACGUCAAUCCCAGCCCCACGGACUCACAGUUCCCAGCCUCACGGACAAGCAAGAUACAGCCCCACGGACACACGGUUCCCAGCCCCACGGACACACCAGGAAUGGCCCCACGGACACAUCAAUCCCAGCCCCACGGACACACCAGGAAUGGCCCCACGGACACAUCAACCCCGGCCCCACGGACACGCAGUUCCCAGCCCCACGGACAGGCAAGAUACAGCCCCACGGACACACCAGGCUCGGCCCCACGGCGACCCCCUUUAUUGCCCCGGCGCCGCGACCUCGCGGUGACGUCACCCGGCGACCACCACCGCCGUCGCCUCAGGGGCCUCCCAGCGACGGGACCGUUUCCUGUUGGCAACAGCGUGACGUCACCGCGGGCCCGACCUCCCCCCCCCCGAUGACAUNNNNNNNNNNNNNNNNNNNNNNNNNNNNNNNNNNNNNNNN